UACAGAGGUCCCAAGCGUUGUUCGGAUUCAUUGGGCGUAAAGGGUGCGUAGGCGGCGCGGUAAGUCGGGUGUGAAAUCUCGGAGCUUAACUCCGAAACUGCAUUCGAUACUGCCGUGCUUGAGGACUGGAGAGGAGACUGGAAUUUACGGUGUAGCGGUGAAAUGCGCAGAUAUCGGGAAGAACACCGGUGGCGAAGGCGGCUCUCUGGACCUGUCCUGACGCUCAGGCGCGAAAGCUAGGGGAGCGAACAGG
rnacentral:rRNA from 1 species